UGACAGUACUCCUACGGGGAGGCAGCAGUGGGGGAAUAUUGCACAAUGGGCGCAAGCCUGAUGCAGCCAUGCCGCGUGUGUGAAGAAGGCCUUCGGGUGUAAAGCACUUUCAGUCGUGAGGAAGGUAGUGUAGUUAAUAGCUGCAUUAUUUGACGUUAGCGACAGAAGAAGCACCGGCUAACUCCGUGCCAGCAGCCGCGGUAAUACGGAGGGUGCGAGCGUUAAUCGGAAUUACUGGGCGUAAAGCGCAUGCAGGUGGUUUGUUAAGUCAGAUGUGAAAGCCCGGGGCUCAACCUCGGAAUAGCAUUUGAAACUGGCAGACUAGAGUACUGUAGAGGGGGGUAGGAAUUUCAGGUGUAGCGGUGAAAUGCGUAGAGAUCUGAAGGAAUACCGGUGGCGAAGGCGGCCCCCUGGACAGAUACUGACACUCAGAUGCGAAAGCGUGGGGAGCAAACAGGAUUAGAUACCCUGGUAG
rnacentral:rRNA from 1 species